rnacentral:rRNA from 1 species
UACGUAGGGAGCAAGCGUUGUCCGGAUUUACUGGGUGUAAAGGGUGCGUAGGCGGCUUUGCAAGUCAGAAGUGAAAUCCAUGGGCUUAACCCAUGAACUGCUUUUGAAACUGCAAGGCUUGAGUGAAGUAGAGGCAGGCGGAAUUCCCGGUGUAGCGGUGAAAUGCGUAGAGAUCGGGAGGAACACCAGUGGCGAAGGCGGCCUGCUGGGCUUUAACUGACGCUGAGGCACGAAAGCAUGGGUAGCUAACAGG